rnacentral:ncRNA from 21 species
CUCAGUCGAAAAUUGAAGACUCAUAUAAUGUCGAUAAUAGGGUUCGACAGUUUCUACAGGAUCACCGAAAAUGAUUCUACUAUGAGUGAAAGUGUACCUAGG